ACAUUAGAUGUUAGAUCGGGAGAUGAUGCGUUUUGACGUGCGGGAGCUUUGAAAAUCUUUUAUAAAGACUCACUGCUCUAGACGCUAGAGUUACGAAACUGUAUCUUGUUCGUACAUUGAUUUAUUAAGGACAAAUAAAAGUCGGUGCACAGGAAGAGGUGUUGAAUUAGGUGACGGCAGGUGGACUAUAAACAAAGGGUACGGGAACGGCGGCUUGGACGACGGCCAGAUGGGCCAGAGACUAAUAGUACCGUUAGCCAUUUCUCUGAUGAUAACGUAAUCUUAAAUGAUGACCCAAUAAACUACAAAACAUAUCUGAUUCAACACUAAAUACGUUUAAAAUAUUCUACCAUGAUAAAAUUUACAAUAGAAUUUCAAAUGUAAGCUGUAGUUUCUUAUAAAUGAUGUUCAGAACUCCGCACCUACAGUCUGUACUACAGUUAUCAUUCGCUUUGUAUUGAACAUUGCUUUGUAAUUACGAUGUAAAUGUUUGUUCAUUUAAGUGAAGCUAACAUUUUUCGGAUUACUACGCGUAUUUUAUUGUUUUUAAAAACUACAUGCUCUCGACGUUUCGGUUACUUUGCAGCAACCGUGACUACGGACAGACGAGACGUGUUUGUUCAUUUGUCGGAGCCGGUAACGGAUCACGUCCACGGCCAGUGCUCCGCAGUCCGAAGUGCUCGAUAUGAUUCGAUGAAGAGAGAGUUGACAAUACAUUAUAUAGACUUUAGAAAAUGUAGUUCAGCAUUUUUGUACAUGAUGGACAACGUCGAGAGAAACGCCGAAAAAAUAUUACUGCAGAUACAUCAUAAAAUGUCUUCCCAAUACUUACAGCUGAUCAUUAAUGUCUUGUGAAGAGACAAGGACCACGGGCAACUUUAUAACCGACUUAUUUGAUUUUAUAUAAAUUAUACAGGAUGAGGUCGCUGAAGAGUCACCAACAGAGGAACCACAGAUUAUUGUGAACAAUUCUGAGAUCACCAGUAUGUAUAGGGUAAUGCGAACACAUCCUGAGUCGUCUCUUUCUUUCAUUUCCGGAUAUGUUAUAUACGACCUGUGGCUGAGUGCGGCGCGGUCGUCGGCUGUCCCCUGUGACGUCACGGUCAUAUAUUUCUGGCAGUGGUUAGAACAAAAGCACAUGAUGAUUUGCUUUUAUUUAAAAUGGCGUCGCAAUAAAAAAAUAAACAAUCUAUUUUUAACAUACAUAAAUACGAAGACGAUUUAGAUAAUUGCGAAAUUAUAACUUCAAUUUUUCAAUUUUAUCUUUUUAGCACAAGUUCGACAAACGUACGUUUGAAAAAUUUAUAAUUAAACGGGCCUAAUAUUUAUGUUAUUUAAGAUAAAAUUUGAUGACUAAGAGUUUGCAAGAUCGAUAAUAUUAAUUAAUUAAAAGUUGCCUAAUAAUUUCCAGGCCGAAUCUACUUGGCAGUUGCCACACAGUUUGGUCGCAUAUUCGACGUAAAUUUUAGGACCUAUUUUUAUUUUCAUUUGUAGAAUACAUAGCGGAAUACAUUUGAAUUAGUAUAGUUUGAAUGAAAUCUCGAAGAGCAAAUCUGUAAAUUGUUUUUUUCUAUGGUUUACCAGUUCGUGGUGACAUCUCUUAUUUAUUUUUACACAAACUUUAACUGUGAACAUUUAACAGUAACACUGAUUAUGAAUAUAAGUUCUAUACAAGUUUACUCCGCGGCUUGUCUCUCUCCACAUAAUAUUCGACACAGCAAACAUUACUUAUUUCACUGUAUGUUUAUCUUUAUUACCGACUCUAUAUUUCUUGUAAAAAUCUGGUAAUAAAGAACUGUUUGCUUGCCUGUUAUUUUAUUUCUGCUGACGGAUGUAUAACCAAUAAAUAUAUAUUGAAUCCU